GACGGGCCUCCUCGCAUGGUGGCUUGGUAACCUGGUCAGGUCGGGAACGGAGCAGCCAAAGCCAAGUACUGCCAGUGCCGAGGGUCAGGCUCGUCCAC
rnacentral:SRP_RNA from 1 species